CAAGCCGAAGAUGAUAUCAUUUGGAAGCACGCGAAUGAUGGGAUCUACUCCGCGGCCACCGCGUAUAAGGCUCAGUUCCUUGGGUUAAUUCUCUCACCCAUGGAUCACAUGGUUUGGAAGGCUUGGGCUCCCCCCAAGGUUAAAUUCUUCGCUUGGUUAGCUAUACAAGGCCGCAUUUGA
rnacentral:rRNA from 1 species